UACAGAUGUCUCAAGCGUUGUUCGGAUUCAUUGGGCGUAAAGGGUGCGUAGGCGGCGCGGUAAGUCGGGUGUGAAAUCUCGGAGCUUAACUCCGAAACUGCAUUCGAUACUGCCGUGCUUGAGGACUGGAGAGGAGACUGGAAUUUACGGUGUAGCGGUGAAAUGCGUAGAUAUCGUAAGGAAGACCAGUGGCGAAGGCGGGUCUCUGGACAGUUCCUGACGCUGAGGCACGAAGGUCAGGGGAGCAAACGGG
rnacentral:rRNA from 1 species